CAGUAGCCGCGGGAAAACAGAGGGUGCGAGCGUUAAUCGGAUUUACUGGGCGUAAAGCGUGCGCAGGCGGUUAUAUAAGACAGAUGUGAAAUCCCCGGGCUCAACCUGGGAACUGCAUUUGUGACUGUAUAGCUAGAGUACGGCAGAGGGGGAUGGAAUUCCGCGUGUAGCAGUGAAAUGCGUAGAUAUGCGGAGGAACACCGAUGGCGAAGGCAAUCCCCUGGGCCUGUACUGACGCUCAUGCACGAAAGCGUGGGGAGCAAACAGGAUUAGAUACCCCUGUAGUCCCUGUCUCUUAUAC
rnacentral:rRNA from 1 species